GGGGAGUAUAAGAGACCUACAAAACCUCUUCCUGGGGAGUGUGGUUACUACUUGCACGAGCAUCAAUUGAUUCUAUCACACCCAAUUACAGACAAGGUUAUUGAGAUCAUUGCACCCCUUAAACUUCUGCUUCAAGCACACAUGGAAAGGUAACAGUUGGUCGGUAAUGUUUGGUGCAAUGAGGAAAAUGAUAAUAAUGCACUUCACGUCAAGUUAAUUACAUGGUUAAGUUUAGAAGCCUAAUUAAUAUAGUUCACAUGACUGCUGAAUAGGAAUUUCUAUUGGCUGCUAUGAUUAGUCAUUCCAUACUA